UGGGGAAUAUUGCACAAUGGGGGAAACCCUGAUGCAGCGACGCCGCGUGAAUUAGAAGGCCUUCGGGUUGUAAAAAUCUUUUCUAUGGGAAGAAAAUGACAGUACCAUAGGAAUAAGGACCGGCUAAUUACGUGCCAGCAGGCGCGGUAAUACGUAAGGUCCGAGCGUUGUCCGGAAUCAUUGGGCGUAAAGGGUACGUAGGCGGGUAAGCAAGUUAGAAGUGAAAUCCUGUAGCUCAACUACAGUAAGCUUUUAAAACGGCUCAUCUUCAGAUAUGGAAGGGAGAGUGGAAUUCCUAGUGUAGCGGUGAGAUGAGCAGAUAUUAGGAGGAAUACCGGUGGCGAAGGCGACUUUCUGGCCAUAAUCUGACGCUGAGGUACGAAAGCGUGGGUAGCAAACAGG
rnacentral:rRNA from 1 species